UACCCAGUCCUUCCGGUAUCGCGUUGC
rnacentral:piRNA from 1 species